rnacentral:tRNA from 1 species
GCGCCGGUGGUCUAACGGCAUGACUGCGGCCUUCCAAGCCGCCUAUCUGGGUUCGAAUCCCGGCCGGCGCA